AAAUCAAUAGGUGGUGCAGUUCUUUCAAGAAUGAUAUUGGGUAAAGGGGUAUUACAUAAUAUAAUUUGUUUUCUUUUCCCUGAUAAAUGAUAACCUUCAAUUUUUGUGCCAAAUGAGUCUUUAAAAAAUUCAAGUUACAUUCUCUGGAAGACACCUUCUCAAGAACUCUCUAUAGAAGACAGCAGAUUACAAUCUUUAGUAUUGUAACAUGCAAAUAAGUUUCAUAAAACCAAAAAAACCCCCAGCAUUUUUUGAGUAAUAUCAUUUGAAAGAAUUAUGGUAUGUUGAAGUAAUUCAUUUUUGGAGUAUCCUUUAGCUUUCUGUUCGGAAAGAAAAUGGAGAAAUUAGGCAACUAUUGGAAUGAUUUCAAUUUCAUUAUUCAACAGCAUCGAUGCGCUACUUUCUUGUUCCAAGAAUGUAUCUAUUAACAGUGAUGUUUUGCCUUACAGCUUUUCUGGGAGAAGAGGCUACAAGGACUUAGUGCAUCAGAUGUAACAGAACAAAUUAUAAAAACCAUGGAACUACCUAAAGGUCUUCAAGGAGUUGGUCCAGGUAGUAACGACGAGACCCUUUUAUCUGCUGUUGCCAGUGCUUUGCACACAAGCUCUGCACCAAUCACAGGACAGGUCUCCGCGGCUGUGGAGAAGAACCCCGCCGUCUGGCUUAACACAUCUCAACCCCUCUGCAAGGCUUUCAUCGUCACAGAUGAAGACAUUAGG